rnacentral:rRNA from 1 species
UACGUAGGGUGCAAGCGUUGUCCGGAAUUAUUGGGCGUAAAGAGCUCGUAGGCGGUCUGUCGCGUCGGAUGUGAAAAUCCAGGGCUUAACCCUGGACCUGCAUUCGAUACGGGCAGACUAGAGUUCGGUAGGGGAGACUGGAAUUCCUGGUGUAGCGGUGAAAUGCGCAGAUAUCAGGAGGAACACCGGUGGCGAAGGCGGGUUGCUGGGCCGUAUACUGACGCUGAGGCGAGCGAAAGCCGGGUGGGAGCAAACGGGAUUAGAACCGUACCGAGUC